CAUAGCUCAGUUGGUAGUAGCGCAUGACUGUUAAUCAUGAUGUCGUAGGUUCGAGUCCUACUGGCGGAG
rnacentral:tRNA from 1 species